rnacentral:rRNA from 1 species
AACGCUAGCUACAGGCUUAACACAUGCAAGUCGCGGGGUCUGUUUCGGCAGACGACCGGCGCACGGGUGAGUAACGCGUAUCCAACCUGCCCCUCUCUUUGGCAUAGCCUUUCGAAAGAGAGAUUAAUUCCGAAUAACAUAGUUUAGUUGCAUGAUUCGACUAUGAAAGCUCCGGCGGAGAGGGAUGGGGAUGCGUUCCAUUAGGUAGUAGGCGGGGUAACGGCCCACCUAGCCGACGAUGGAUAGGGGUUCUGAGAGGAAGGUCCCCCACACUGGAACUGAGACACGGUCCAGACUCCUACGGGAGGCAGCAGUGAGGAAUAUUGGUCAAUGGCCGGAAGGCUGAACCAGCCAAGUAGCGUGAAGGAUGAAGGUUCUAUGGAUUGUAAACUUCUUUUAUACGGGAAUAAAGCCCGCUACGUGUAGCGGUUUGUAUGUACCGUAUGAAUAAGCAUCGGCUAACUCCGUGCCAGCAGCCGCGGUAAUACGGAGGAUGCGAGCGUUAUCCGGAUUUAUUGGGUUUAAAGGGAGCGUAGACGGGAUGUUAAGUCAGUUGUGAAAGGCUGCGGCUCAACCGCAGCACUGCAGUUGAUACUGGCGUCCUUGAGUGCGGUUGAGGUAUGUGGAAUUCGUGGUGUAGCGGUGAAAUGCUUAGAUAUCACGAAGAACUCCGAUUG